CAUCGGCCUGCCCACCAGCACCAUCGCCAGCUGCUCCCAGGAUGGUCGUGUGUUCAUUUGGACCUGUGAUGAUGCCUCAAGCAAUACGUGGUCCCCUAAAUUGUUGCACAAGUUCAACGAUGUGGUGUGGCAUGUGAGCUGGUCCAUCACAGCCAACAUCCUGGCUGUCUCUGGUGGAGACAAUAAGGCAGGCCCUCAAGAGACCCGCAACAGAAAGGAAAGCCACCGACUGGAGAGAACCUGCUUCCUGAGCCCCACCAAGUUCCAAAAAGGAGAAUGGGGCUUCGUCCUCACCCUCAAGGAGUUGCCAAACUGGGCUUGGUUAUUAUUCACACUUGGAAAGAAUGAGGAAGGUCAGCCAGUCCCCUCCAGGUUGCUCGGGCUUCCUCCAAG
rnacentral:sRNA from 1 species